CCAAGGGUUGGGCUGUUCGCCCAUUAAAGCGGUACGCGAGCUGGGUUCAGAACGUCGUGAGACAGUUCGGUCCCUAUCCGGCGUGGGCGUAGGAUAUUUGAGAGGAGCUGCCCUUAGUACGAGAGGACCGGGGUGGACUGGCCGCUGGUGGAUCUGUUGUAUUACCAAAUGCAUAGCAGAGUAGCCAAGCCGGGACGGGAUAAACGCUGAAGGCAUCUAAGCGUGAAGCCCCCCUCAAGAUGAGAUAUCCCAUAACGUCAAGUUAGUAAGACCCCUUGAAGACGACGAGGUAGAUAGGGCAGAGGUGGAAGUGCGGUAACGCAUGGAGCUGACUGUUACUAAUAGGUCGAGGGCAUAACCAAG
rnacentral:rRNA from 1 species